rnacentral:lncRNA from 1 species
CGUCUGCCACCCCAGGGUAGGUUCGAGCCCACGUUUGGCUCCUGCACAACUGCUACAAUCAUUUCUCCAGGGAACUGUCUUUUCUCCUCUGCCUCCAGCCCCCGGGGGGGCCUUCUGGGGUUGAGGUCGGCCUGCAGCGGACACCCCCAGACUCAUUUCUGCCCCGCCGGCCCCCGGCGCAGCGCCACCGCGUGUGCCGCCUUGGUCACGUGGAGGCCCCGAAAGGCAGCACCAGCGCCGAAGCCGGCGAGCCGAGCCGCAGGUCCCGGAAGCACGGAGACUUGCCCGGGCACCGGGAAGUGGGGGGCGCGCGGCCUGCUUAAGGCCUUCCGCCAUUUCCGGGCCCCAGCCCCUCGAGGGGAGCGGGCUUGGGUCACCCUUCGAGGCCUCAUCAGGAGGCCGCAGCCAGGGCCCGGGCCAUCCAGCAGCCUGCAGGACGCGAGGCGCUCGCCGGGUCCCAGGGGAGGCCCCAACCCGGGCUCCCCCGACGACGUGCGCCCCUAGCUCGGCGUCGCCGGCCCCGGGCCGGCCCCCACUCCGAGGCAAGCCUCCCCUCCUCCCGGCCCCUCUCCGCGCCCCCACGCCCUCCAGCCCUGCUCCGGGCGCCCUCGCCGGCGGCUC